rnacentral:rRNA from 1 species
UACGUAGGGGACAAGCGUUAUCCGGAUUUACUGGGCGUAAAGCGCCCGUAGGCGGCCUGACAAGUUGGACGUGAAAGCUCCUGGCUUAACUGGGAGAGGCCGUUCAAAACUGUCAAGCUAGAGUCUGGAAGAGGAGAGCGGAAUUCCCGGUGUAGUGGUGGAAUGCGUAGAGAUCGGGAGGAACACCAGUGGCGAAAGACGGCUGCU